rnacentral:rRNA from 1 species
UUCGGUACAUCGGUGACAGGUGGUGCAUGGUUGUCGUCAGCUCGUGUCGUGAGAUGUGGUUAAGUCCCGCAACGAGCGCAACCCCUAUUGUUAGUUGCCAUCAUUCAGUUGGGCACUCUAGCGAGACUGCCGGUAAUAAACCGGAGGAAGGUGGGGAUGACGUCAAAUCAUCAUGCCCCUUAUGACCUGGGCUACACACGUGCUACAAUGGUUGGUACAACGAGUUGCGAGUCGGUGACGGCGAGCUAAUCUCUUAAAGCCAAUCUCAGUUCGGAUUGUAGGCUGCAACUCGCCUACAUGAAGUCGGAGUCGCUAGUAAUCGCGGAUCAGCACGCCGCGGUGAAUACGUUCCCGGGCCUU